rnacentral:rRNA from 1 species
CCUCGAUGUCGGCUCAUCACAUCCUGGGGCUGAAGUAGGUCCCAAGGGUAUGGCUGUUCGCCAUUUAAAGUGGUACGCGAGCUGGGUUUAGAACGUCGUGAGACAGUUCGGUCCCUAUCUGCCGUGGGCGCUGGAGAAUUGAGGGGGGCUGCUCCUAGUACGAGAGGACCGGAGUGGACGCAUCACUGGUGUUCGGGUUGUCAUGCCAAUGGCACUGCCCGGUAGCUAAAUGCGGAAGAGAUAAGUGCUGAAAGCAUCUAAGCACGAAACUUGCCCCGAGAUGAGUUCUCCCUGAGACUAUAAGUCUCCUGAAGGAACGUUAAAGACGAUGACGUUGAUAGGC